rnacentral:tRNA from 1 species
GGGCGCUUGGUCUAGGGGUAUGAUUGUAAGGAGUCCCGCAGCGCCGUGUUCUGCGGUCCAGUGCCUAAUAUUAUUAUCGUCUCUAGUUCGCUUCGCAUGUUGGAAUCUUCUUCCAUACAGCCUUGUGAAAGGUCGUGGGUUCAAUUCCCACAGCGUCCA